rnacentral:lncRNA from 1 species
UCACAGUGCGCCUACAGGCUGUCCCUAAUUUUCCCUGAAUUUUUCCCAGGAAACUGAAACGCACUACUGGUACCGGCGGCGGUGCUCUCGGGUGCGGCGGCUCUCCGGUGAGGUUCGUGUUUUGGUGAUUUGGCUCCGAUCAACCUCGAUCGGCAGUCGGAAAUCUCCCCGGUGCGGCGGCGGGUGGCGGCGGCCGGCUUCUCCAGCGUCUGGUUCGUC